AUUGAACGCUGGCGGCAUGCUUUACACAUGCAAGUCGAACGGUAACAGGCCGCAAGGUGCUGACGAGUGGCGAACGGGUGAGUAAUGCAUCGGAACGUGCCCAGUCGUGGGGGAUAACGCAGCGAAAGCUGCGCUAAUACCGCAUACGAUCUAUGGAUGAAAGCGGGGGACCGUAAGGCCUCGCGCGAUUGGAGCGGCCGAUGUCAGAUUAGGUAGUUGGUGGGGUAAAGGCUCACCAAGCCGACGAUCUGUAGCUGGUCUGAGAGGACGACCAGGCACACUGGGACUGAGACACGGCCCAGACUCCUACGGGAGGCAGCAGUGGGGAAUUUUGGGCAAUGGGCGCAAGCCUGAUCCAGCAAUGCCGCGUGCAGGAAGAAGGCCUUCGGGUUGUAAACUGCUUUAGUACGGAACGAAACGACUCUGGUUAAUACCUGGGGCUAAUGACGGUACCGUAAGAAUAAGCACCGGCUAACUACGUGCCAGCAGCCGCUGUAAAAC
rnacentral:rRNA from 1 species